UACAGAGGUCCCAAGCGUUGUUCGGAUUCACUGGGCGUAAAGGGCGCGUAGGUGGCACGGGUAGUCGUCGGUGAAAGCUCAGGGCUCAACCCUGAGUCGGCCGGUGAUACUCCCGAGCUCGAGUGUGGUAGAGGCCAAUGGAAUUCCGGGUGUAGCGGUGGAAUGCGUAGAGAUCCGGAAGAACACCGGUGGCGAAGGCGGUUGGCUGGGCCACAACUGACACUGAUGCGCGACAGCGUGGGGAGCAAACAGG
rnacentral:rRNA from 1 species